rnacentral:lncRNA from 1 species
GUUCAGGAGGGCCACUCCCUUUUGUCCUGAAACAAUAGACCAUUAGCUUUUCAUCACAGCAAUAGCCACACUGGGGUGGUUUUAAGGAAAACUCACAGUGUUCAUCUGUGCAACAGGAAACAGACAAACAGGAAUAAAAUCCAGGGAGGAUCUUCUCAUAGUGGGUGACAUGAAGAGAAGGAGCAGUGGUCUUUUAUAUACCAACAAUUUCUGAAGAAUCUUAAACCACAGACAUGAACUGUGAAAAAUUAUACAACCUAAGAAGAGACUCAUGUAGUUUGAAGUUCGCAAAGACAGCAAUCAACAGAACAGCAGAAUUACAGAUGAAGAACUGUUCUGUGGUGAGUAAACUGAAGCUUUCAUACUUUGGGCUUCUUGAGUGAAGAUUGUGCGGCACAUACUCUCAAAUA